UAAAAGUUUUCUUUUUCUACCACUUUUAAAUCCUGUGUUCAUCCAUCACUUAAAUUUGGAAAUGCAGAAACAUUUCAAGGGGUGUGAAUACUCUGCGGUGUCAUGUUCAGAUGUUAAUAUAAUGAAACUUAAAUUUCCCAGAGCUCAGCCAUUUCGUAAUGACAAUGUUUCGCUGUUUCAGAUUGAAGCAUUUCACAGUCUGCCGUCCUCCAAAUGAUUUCCUUGUUGCUUCUUUUAAUUCAAAGAUACAGUCCAAUCCAGAAUCUAUGCUGGUGUCUCUACAGACAGAUCUGUUGUGCUAGAAGGAGAAAAACUUCCUGCAAGUAUAAUCUCCUCUUCCAACCAAGAGCCAAGGCCAAACAAGCGGAGAGAUGCCACUGCUAAGCCGGACCCGCUCGUUUUCCACCAAGAAAACGCUGAUCCAUUGGUAGCAGUGAAAUGCAGUUUCGCUUGUUUGCGAAGAUGCAUAAUUGUGCCCGUUGAGGCUGCUGCUCCCACGUCGACAAUAGACAAUGGAGGGCGAGAGCAGAUGCAGCUUCUGCAGUACAAUGGGCCCUGACAACAUGGAAUUACAGCCUCUGCAGCUAAAAAAGUAGCUUUUUUUUAUUCCCGUGCUCCGGGGAACGGCAAUAAAGGGUGGGGCACGGCGAAUGAAAGCACCGAUUCUCAUACAAAAUAGCAUCUGGACUGAUCUGUCACUCCCAAACCUUCCCUCUCUCCGUAACAAAAGAAAAACAAACAAACUUAGGAAGAAACUCAGUAGAAAGAGAACCACUGGAUGCAGAUGAAUCAGGUUUUGGACUUUCAGGAAAAACACAGAAAGGAAAAACCACACAGCUCAACGCUGUCGCGAGACCGCGAGCGGGCCUGGUGCCGAGCAGCUGUGAGACAGGCUCCAGGUGAAAGAUGAGUCGAGUCCUGCGGGAAGACAUCAAUCAUUGAUGGACUGACGCAUCCGAGAGGGAAGGAGCAAAGAGAAGCAGGAGGAGAGCCAGGAGAGAGCAGACAACAAACGCACCCUCCCACCGAUGAGUCCUGACCUUGCUGAGAAGCGACAGAGUCAUCAGCGCCGGGCUCAGCCCAGCCCAACCCGGCCCAACCCGGCCCAUGAAGGAUAUGAG